AUAAACUGGGCUUCCACGGGGAGACGUUUUAGAAUGUGUAUAGUUAAGUCUGUUUGAGAAACUAGUUUCUAUAAUCCCAGAUUUACUUUUUCUCCUCUCAGUCACCCAACCCUUAUCUGUCGAUCUGUUCUCGUCUUUAAACUAACUGCGCUUCUCUCUUUCUUCUUCCUCUUAUUCUCUUCCCCUCUAUUAUGAGCCAUGAUUUUGGAAAAUUUUCCCCUAAAAUUAGUUCCUUAAUUCAUUGAUCUGUUUUUCAAUCGUAUUAUUCAGUCAAAGUUGAAGAAAGAAUUGUUGAAUUUUCUUCCUCUUCAGAGAUUAUACCAUUGAAUACUACCAAACCCUAACCCUGAAUUACUCAAACAUACACACAAUUUUACCUGUUUCAUUACCUUUUCUAUCUAUAAAUGUUCUUGUAAUGAAACCCAAAUUUUGUCUACCUAUUGAAACCUAACUUUAAUUUGAUUUUUCUCUGUAGAAGUAGAAGAUGUUUAUUAGUAAUUGAUGGUGUCCUCAAGCUUCAAAGAUUUGAAGAUCUUUUCAUGUUGAUCAUGAUUUAUGUUUAAGGUUGUGGGAUUUUAAAUUGGACGAGUUACUCGGAAUUGAAGCAUUUCAACCUGUGUGAUUCUGGUCUUGUAUGAGUUAUUGUAUGGAAGUUUGCUCAAAUUUCCAAUCCAGUAACUUUAUUGCUUACUUCAUUUUGAUUUUGAAAAAUGAAGUUUAUUCUUUCUUUUUCUAAAAUGUGUGAUCAUCGGUGCAGCUGGGUCAACUGUCUAUUUCAAUCUUUACAUUCGGAUCUCCACGACAGGUGGGUUUGUGGUGCAGGACUUGGGAUCUUCAUACAUGUCUCGAGUUUGAGCCAUUCUCUGCUAGUGGGUAUGUUGUGCGGCUUGUGCCUACUCCAUUUGCAUACUUCCUUGCUUCUGUUAUUUACGAGCUUAUUGAAUAACAACAUAAGCAGGAUAUGAUAUACGAUGUUGAUUUCGGAUCUGCUAUACGAUAUGGUGAAAAAUUCAUGCUUCACAACUUUAAGGGAAUCCUUCACCUGGAAGUGAAAGACAUGGAUCUUGGAAAAGUUGGUGUGUUCAAAUCCACAUGUUUUUAUGAACAAGGCAAGGAUUGAAUGUAAAAGCCAUAGCCUGGAUCCUGUAACUAUUGGUGCAUUGCUCGAGAUAUACUAUUCCGAUCAGUUGGGAAGCUCAGUUCAUCUUUUGCUGGUUUUAGUUUAUUUUAUUGUCCAUUGGUUGGUUUCCACUGAUUGUAAGAAAAUAUAUCUUCGAGAACUUAAACCGGAGUGAAUUCAGUAGUUGUGUACAGUUUUUCGUGGUUUUGACUCAAGUGUCAGCUCAAUUCACAUGUGAAUUCAGUUAAUAUUGUACAACAAAUUUCAAUUUUGAAUUGAAUGGUGAAUGUUUUGAUUA